rnacentral:rRNA from 1 species
GACGAACGCUGGCGGCGUGCUUAACACAUGCCAGUCGAACGGAAAGGCCCUUCGGGGUACUCGAGUGGCGAACGGGUGAGUAACACGUGGGUGAUCUGCCCUGCACUUUGGGAUAAGCCUGGGAAACUGGGUCUAAUACCGAAUAGGACCACGCGCUUCAUGGUGUGUGGUGGCAAGCUUUUGCGGUGUGGGAUGGGCCCGCGGCCUAUCAGCUUGUUGGUGGGGUAAUGGCCUACCAAGGCGACGACGGGUAGCCGGCCUGAGAGGGUGACCGGCCACACUGGGACUGAGAUACGGCCCAGACUCCUACGGGAGGCAGCAGUGGGGAAUAUUGCACAAUGGGCGCAAGCCUGAUGCAGCGACGCCGCGUGAGGGAUGACGGCCUUCGGGUUGUAAACCUCUUUCAAUAGGGACGAAGCGCAAGUGACGGUACCUAUAGAAGAAGCACCGGCCAACUACGUG